GAGGCAUAAAUGUAUUUUUAAUCUUAACUUUGUGAUUUCAAUAAUUAAAGAUGUGAUUGGUUACCUCACAAUAAUUAUAAACUUGGAAAUGGAAAGAAAUAUCUAAAUUAUUUAUUUCCAAAUUUAAAGAAUUCAACACAAUUGUACAAGCCCAAUUUUGGCCCUUAGCCCAAAACUCAUUGAACCCACUAAGCCUAAAACCCAAAUAACCUACCCAAAACCCAAUUUCAAAGGAAACCCUAGCCCAUUACAUUAAAGAAAUAAACAAAAGAAGAAGCUAAGGAAACCCUAGCCGUCAGCACAUGCCCCCCACCCCAUCCACCACCGACGCCUGCAAGUGGCCUCUGCUCCACCACCGUUUGCCUGCAGCAACAACAGAAGAAUAGACAGAUAUUAAAAAAAAGCGGCAUGUAAAUGGCUAUUUAAAGCCGAAUUCGAACCAUUGUAAAGGAGGUUUUUUUUUACAAAUAAAAAGCAUAAGAUUCAAGCACACAAAAACAAUCAAUAGUGAGUAACAGGCAGACAAGGCAAAAAGAAAGUCCAAAAGCCUCAAGGUCGAUUUUACUUUUAUUUUCUUUCUCUAUUCGAAGCUAUUUAUACCUAUAUCUGUUAAUCUUUUCGAGCAUUCACAUACAAAUAUACGUUAAAAACAAAAAAUAUAAAAAAGGGGAGAAAAAUAUACCUUUUUCGAAAUUCCGGCCACCGCGUGCAGUGGCCGGCGACUGCUGGAGGCGGCGGCGCACGGUGGGGGUUGGCUGGAUCCCUUGGCCGGUUCUGGGUCUUCCCCAGAGAGAAAAAUCCCCCUUUUCCCUUUUUUUUUUCUCAAACGCAGGAAGAAU
rnacentral:lncRNA from 1 species